GAUGAACGCUGGCGGCGUGCCUAAUACAUGCAAGUCGAGCGAACGGACGAGAAGCUUGCUUCUCUGAUGUUAGCGGCGGACGGGUGAGUAACACGUGGAUAACCUACCUAUAAGACUGGGAUAACUUCGGCAAACCGGAGCUAAUACCGGAUGAUAUUUUGAACCGCAUGGUUCAAAAGUGAAAGACGGUCUUGCUGUCACUUAUAGAUGGAUCCGCGCUGCAUUAGCUAGUUGGUAAGGUAACGGCUUACCAAGGCAACGAUGCAUAGCCGACCUGAGAGGGUGAUCGGCCACACUGGAACUGAGACACGGUCCAGACUCCUACGGGAGGCAGCAGUAGGGAAUCUUCCGCAAUGGGCGAAAGCCUGACGGAGCAACGCCGCGUGAGUGAUGAAGGUCUUCGGAUCGUAAAACUCUGUUAUUAGGGAAGAACAUAUGUGUAAGUAACUGUGCACAUCUUGACGGUACCUAAUCAGAAAGCCACGGCUAACUACGUG
rnacentral:rRNA from 1 species